rnacentral:lncRNA from 1 species
AGGGUGUAUGAUUUUUGUUUCUGUGUCAUGCCGUAAGGUCAAAAGAGAGCAAGAGGAGAUAAAUAUGUAAGCUUUAGGGGAAAAUACAAAUUUUAUAGACAGAGAUGAAGCCGAUGAAAUGAUCUUAUGCGGUUGUGAUAACUUAUGGUAUACCUAGCUUGUUUUAUUUUGUUUUAAAAAAAAAUUAAAAAAGUCUUACAAAUCACCAGUCUCUUAGAAAAAGAAUACCAAAAUCAUACUUUUAAAUUCCUACCAAAAACUUCCAAAUCUUCCAAAUCCUUAUCAAAAUCUACAAAUUCUAUCCAAAUUCCACUACAUCUAAACUCCCAGAAUUUUCUCAAACUCUCAGUCCAAUAAGACCUCCUUUUCUUGUGAAGUCUUCUCUCUUAGUUUUAGUAAAUUUGACUAAGUUUUUGUUUUGUUGUGU